UCACCCUCAGGGGCGGGGCGCGACACAAAAAGCAUCCGUGGAGCUCAAGUUUGAGGUGAAAACAGGCUCAGGGUCCACCCGUCCUCGUUGAUCCAUGGAUUUCUGUGUGACCAGGUCCCGGGCUGGACAGAGAGCGACUCUACUGGGAGCUGAGCCAUGAGAACCUGGGCGACACC